AAUUAUAACCGAAACGAAUUAUAACAUUUGGCUUAUUACACGUACUAGUAUAAAACAUAUGCAACUCAAAACAAAGACGUUCAAAAACUGGGACAGCUAAGAAGAUGUACAGUCUGAAAAUCGCAAUCCUGCUAGUCUGCCUGCUGGUGGCCAUGGUAUCGGCCCAGGGCUGCCAGUCGGCGUGCGAGUCCAUCUACUCCCCAGUCUGUGCCUCCAACUACGUGCCCUACAGGAACGAGAUGUGCAUGCGUUGCAACGACCCCAGCUUGUAUGUGCUGUAUUAUGGUCCCUGCUAAGGUGUACUUGAUAGGGGAAUAAAUAAAUGAACAGAUA